AAGCAUCGGCUAACUCCGUGCCAGCAGCCGCGGUAAUACGGAGGAUGCAAGCGUUAUCCGGAAUCAUUGGGUUUAAAGGGUGCGUAGGUUGAUUAUUAAGUCAGUGGUGAAAAUUCCGGGCUCAACCCGGGACUUGCCGUUGAAACUGAUAAUCUUGAGUGUAACUGAUGUGGGGGCCGGAAUGUGUCAAGUAGCGGUGAAAUGCAUAGAUAUGACACAGAACACCGAUAGCGAAGGCAGCUCACAAAAUUACAACUGACACUGAGGCACGAAAGCGUGGGUAUCAAACAGGAUUAGAUACCCUGGUAGUCCACGCUGUAAACGAUGAUCGCUAGCUGUUUGCGAUACAUUGUAAGUGGUUAAGCGAAAGCGAUAAGUGAUCCACCUGGGGAGUACGUCGGCAACGAUGAAACUCAAAGGAAUUGACGGGGGCCCGCACAAGCGGAGGAGCAUGUGGUUUAAUUCGAUGAUACGCGAGGAACCUUACCUGGGCUUGAACGUAUGGUGCAUGAGUGUGAAAGCACUCUUUCCUUCACAGGACUUCAUACGAGGUGCUGCAUGGUUGUCGUCAGCUCGUGCCGUGAGGUGUUAGGUUAAGUCCUGCAACGAGCGCAACCCCUGUUUUUAGUUGCCAUCAGGUUAUGCUGGGCACUCUAGAAAGACUGCCUGCGCAAGCAGAGAGGAAGGUGGGGAUGACGUCAAAUCAGCACGGCCCUUACGUCCAGGGCUACACACGUGCUACAAUGGUCGGCACAGAGGGUGGCUACCCGGCGACGGGAUGCUAAUCUCCAAAGUCGAUCUUAGUUCGGAUCGAAGUCUGCAACUCGACUUCGUGAAGUUGGAUUCGCUAGUAAUCGUAUAUCAGCCAUGAUACGGUGAAUACGUUCCCGGGCCUUGUACACACCGCCCGUCAAGCCAUGGAAGUUGGGGGUACCUGAAGUCGAUUACCGAAAGGGAUUGCCUAGGGUAAACCGAUAACUGGGGCUAAGUCGUA
rnacentral:rRNA from 1 species